rnacentral:rRNA from 1 species
UACGAAGGGUGCAAGCGUUACUCGGAAUUACUGGGCGUAAAGCGUGCGUAGGUGGUGAGUUAAGUCUGUCGUGAAAGCCCCGGGCUCAACCUGGGAACUGCAAUGGAAACUGGCGGGCUUGAGUGUGGCAGAGGGGGGUGGAAUUCCGCGUGUAGCAGUGAAAUGCGUAGAGAUGCGGAGGAACACCGAUGGCGAAGGCAGCCCCCUGGGCCAACACUGACGCUCAGGCACGAAAGCGUGGGGAGCAAACAGG